UCGCCUGUUUAUCAAAAACAUGUCUUUUUGUUUAUAAUUUAAAGUCUAGCCUGCCCAAUGAGUAUUAAAUGGCUGCAGUAUAUUGACUGUACUAAGGUAGCAUAAUCAAUAGUUUUUUAAUUGAAAGCUGGUAUGAAAGGUUGAACGAAAAAAAAACUGUCUCUUUAUAAAUAAAUUAGAAUUUUAUUUUUAAGUUAAAAAGCUUAAAUUUUAUAAAAAGACGAGAAGACCCUAUAGAGUUUUAUAAGAAUAUUAUUAAUAAAUUAAUUUAAUUUUUAUAUUAUUAAUAAAAAUUUAUUUUAUUGGGGUGAUAGAAAAAUUUAUUUAACUUUUUUUAUAUUUAUACAUUAAUUUAUGUUUUAUAUGAUCCAAAUUUAUUUGAUUAAAAGAUUAAAUUACCUUAGGGAUAACAGCGUUAUUUUUUUUUAGAGUUCAUAUCAAUAAAAAAGUUUGCGACCUCGAUGUUGGAUUAAAAUUUAUUAUGGGUGAAGAAGUUCAUAGAUUUGGUCUGUUCGACCAUUAAAAUUUUACAUGAUCUGAGUUCAAACCGGAGA
rnacentral:rRNA from 1 species